rnacentral:lncRNA from 1 species
GCAUGGGCGACCAUGCCCGCGGGAGGAAAGCGAUCGCGCUUCUAGGGAGAGAAAAAAAAGAAAGCGAGAAAAAAAAGAGUAUAGAGAAAAAGGUAUAAGAGUAUUUUGGUCAGUUUUCUAAAAAUUCGGUCCGAAUCCACAAAAUCAAAAAAUGUGGUCCAGUUUUGCAAAAGCGCAAAACUAGUGAAUUUUUUAUGCAAAUUGGCCUAUAUUCUUUUCUAUCCAAAAUAAUGGGGCGAGAGGCGGAGGUUUCUCUCGCCUCCGGAUCUAUCCCGUUUGUAUUCUUAAUCUCGCCUUCUUGUCUCAAUUCUCACUAGGGAUGUCAAAGAUCGUAUUUGGGGCGAGUUCUUUUCAAAACUCGAACCUGAAUCUAAAAUCCGAAUCCGACGGAUUUUGAAAAUUCAUAUUCAAAUCCGAACCCGAAAAUCUGAAUCUAAAAUAAUUAUUUCUCUUUUACCAUAUUUUAAAAUAUGUUAUAUUAAAAUCUAAAUUUUUUAAAAUAUAAGUGCAAAUAUAACAACAAACAUUCACACAUAUUAUAUAAUAUAAAAUUACUUUAGGUCCGGGCUGGGUUUGGAUUCGGAUAUAAUACGGACAAAAUUUAUACCUGACUCCAAAUCUAUCAGGUAUUUAUUUAUUUUAGGAAAAACUUCAAAAUCCCUCCUGUGGUUCCGUAGUUUUUCACUUUGCCCCUCUGUGGUUUAAAAUGUAUCAAAUUGCCCUCCUGUGGUUUCGUUUUUAUUUUUUCAGUAGCUUUUUCGUUAAUAUUUCAUUAAAUUAUAUACAAAAAACUUCAGAUACCCAUCUAGAUUUAUCAAAUAUUCAUUUUAGUACCCUUUAAUUUUAACUUUAUCGCUGAUUUAAGAAAAAAAAAAUGAAAUUGAUAAGAAAAAGAGAAAAAAAAAACCAUGGGGGGGCAAAUUGAUAUAUUUUAAACCACAUGGGGGCAAAGUGAGAAACUACGAAACCAGGGGGGUUUUGAAGUUUUUCUUUUUUUUUUUGUGUCCGUAUUCGAAAUUAUAUUCGUUUAGUAUAAAAUAAACUCGAACGGUUCAAAUUUGAAUUUUAACAAAAAUUUGAGAUAUCCGUACUCAUCGACAGCCUGCAUGCCUAAUUCUGUCUUUCUCACCUUGUGUUGGCCGAAGCCGACAAGAAAGCUGGCAGCACAUGCCCCAAAGGCUGUCAAAUAAGUCGGCACGAAAACUCAGGGGCCUUUAUGCAUUUUUCCCUAAUAAUUAUGAAUGCUAGUAGAUCUCUUUAAUUAGCUCAUGUGCGCAGUUUAAAUAUAUACACAAGUACUAAUAUAUUUAGGGAAAACUUUAAAUACUACCUAUGUGGUUUCACAUUUUCUCACUUUAGUAUCAUGUGAUUUAAAGUGUAUCAAUUUAGUACCAUGUGAUUUUAUUUUUAUUUUUUUAUUAUCGAUUCUAUUAUUUUUUUGGUUAUAUCAGUGACAAAAUUAAAACUAAAAAGUACUAAAGUGAAUAUUCGAUAAACUUAGGUAGGGUAUCUGAAGUUUUUUGUAUACAAUUUAACAAAAUAUUACGGAGAAGCUAACGAAAAGAUAAAAAUAAAACCACAGAACACUAACUUAAUAUACUUUAUACCACAUGGUACUAAAGUGAGAAAGUAUGAAACUACAAAAAUGAUAUUUAAAAUUUUUCUAUAUAUAUAUAUAUAUAUAUAUAUAUAUAUAUGUGUGUGUGUGUGUGUGUGUGUGUGUGUGUGUGUCCACAUAUUAAUAGCAAAUAUUUUUAAGGAAUUUAAAAAUAUUUUCAAUAAUUGUGUGGGAUCUCAAUGAAAAACAUUGUUAAUUGCACGUUUUAAUUUAUUGUCCUUAGGCUAAAUUGCACGUUUUAAUUUAUUAUAAUUUCUAACACGAGCUUUACAAUUUACUUGUUACAAUCGAAUUCCACAAUCUAAUUUAAUUAACUAAAUACCGUUGCAUUGCUGAUAUGAAACUGAUGUGAUAUCUUAAUUAUUGCCGCAUAAUCGAUUACAAUACUAGUAUAUUACUUUCACAUUAAUAAUAUAUCAAUAUUAAGUUAACUAAAUUUAAUUUCAGCUGAAAAUAUGAAGCAAUCGGACCUCGAACUUGAGACUUCAGAUAAACUUUUUGCCACCUGCAUUAGCGAAGGUUGGUUAAAUGCAAAUAUUUUUUUAUCCAAAAAAUUAUAAUGUAAGAACUGUUGCAUCCACUAGCGACGCGCUAGCGCUUUGCAGCGAGACUCUUUAUUUUUAUAUAAAUCUAAAUUAUUACAUAGCGAUCAACACCAUUAAAUAUUAGCUACGGUUUUUAAACUUACUGAGAACCAAAUUUCACGAUUUAUAAUAUAGUUUAUCCAGCAACCAUGCGGUAUCAAAUAUAUUUUAUUUUAUAUAUUAGCCACUAAAAGUUAUUAUUUCUGAAACUAUUU